CCUACGGUGGGCAGCAGUGGGGAAUAUUGCACAAUGGAGGGAACUCUGAUGCAGCGACGCCGCGUGAGUGAAGAAGGAAUUCGUUAUGUAAAGCUCUAUCAGCAGGGAAGAAAGUGACGGUACCUGAAAAAGAAGCUCCGGCUAAAUACGUGCCAGCAGCCGCGGUAAUACGUAUGGAGCAAGCGUUAUCCGGAUUUACUGGGUGUAAAGGGAGCGUAGACGGCGAUGCAAGUCAGAAGUGAAAGGCGGGGGCCCAACCCCCGGACUGCUUUGGAAACUGUAUGGCUGGAGUGCAGGAGAGGUAAGUGGAAUUCUUAGUGUAGCGGUGAAAUGCGUAGAUAUUAGGAUGAACACCAGUGGCGAAGGCGGCUUACUGGACUGUAACUGACGUUGAGGCUCGAAAGCGUGGGGAGCAAACAGGAUUAGAUACCCUUGUAGUC
rnacentral:rRNA from 1 species